CGGCCGCUGAGGCGAAGGAAAAAGGCGGGAAGGCGCCGGAGCCCCUGAGGGGAUUUUGGCGCUUUUUCCUUUUUGGCAGCAGAAAAUCCACUCAGCACCUUCACUCGUACUAAAACAUAGCUGAAAGGGAAAGAUUAAACUUCAGAGAGUCCUUUAAUCCUGCAGUAUGGGUGAGGCAGAGAGAAGACACCAUUGGGCAGGCAUCCCUUUCCAGGGUCUCUGACAAGGACCUGCUGGCCAUGGCACUGAU